UUCAUAUAAAAUAGAAGACACCUCUAUGGCCUAGUGAACGUGACACUUGACAUUAACGUCAUUUUCUGAACUAGGCAUCCCGCAUGUCUCUUUGUUUGAGAUGAGUACACAUACUUUUAUAAGAUGUUUGGUUCAAGACAAGGGGCAAAGAUCGAAGACCUACAUGGUUUUCUUCUUAUGUGAAAUGUCUUUGUUGUGAUAUAUCAUAUAUAUUUGUAUUCCCCUUCCUCGAACCCAUUUUCACUUUUCUUUCUGGUUAAUUUUGCCUUACCUUUAAUUUGAUCGAUCAGAGUAAUGAAACGUCUCUGCGUUCUCUUAUUAGUUUCUUUUCCUCAUAGCUAGGACAGUUGUUGUAGGAAACUAAUUAAAGAAUGAUAAAAGCACAAAACAGUUGAAUAAAUACACUAAUUUGCUUACGUUGAUCUUGAUCCAUCAAAAGGAGCAGCUGAAAGAAAAACAGUAUUUUCAUUUUUGGUCGGUUUGAUUGAGACUGUCGAUCUGAGUUAUUUAAAUUUAAAAGUUAAUAAUGCUUUUGCAGAUUGUACAAAGUGAAUACAUGCCGU
rnacentral:lncRNA from 1 species